rnacentral:rRNA from 1 species
GAUCAGGCUCAGGAUGAACGCUAGCUACAGGCUUAACACAUGCAAGUCGAGGGGCAGCGGGAUUGAACGCUUGCUUCAAUUGCCGGCGACCGGCGCACGGGUGAGUAACGCGUAUCCAACCUUCCGUACACUCAGGGAUAGCCUUUCGAAAGAAAGAUUAAUACCUGAUGGUAUGAUGAGAUUGCAUGAUAUCAUCAUUAAAGAUUUAUCGGUGUACGAUGGGG